GACGAACGCUGGCGGCGUGCUUAACACAUGCAAGUCGAACGAUGAAGCCCAGCUUGCUGGGUGGAUUAGUGGCGAACGGGUGAGUAACACGUGAGUAACCUGCCCUUGACUCUGGGAUAAGCGCUGGAAACGGCGUCUAAUACCGGAUACGACCUGCCCCGGCAUCGGGUGUGGGUGGAAAGUUUUUCGGUCAAGGAUGGACUCGCGGCCUAUCAGCUUGUUGGUGAGGUAAUGGCUCACCAAGGCGACGACGGGUAGCCGGCCUGAGAGGGUGACCGGCCACACUGGGACUGAGACACGGCCCAGACUCCUACGGGAGGCAGCAGUGGGGAAUAUUGCACAAUGGGCGAAAGCCUGAUGCAGCAACGCCGCGUGGGGGAUGACGGCCUUCGGGUUGUAAACCUCUUUUAGUAGGGAAGAAGGGCUUCGGCUUGACGGUACCUGCAGAAAAAGCACCGGCUAACUACGUGCCAGCAGCCGCGGUAAUACGUAGGGUGCAAGCGUUGUCCGGAAUUAUUGGGCGUAAAGAGCUCGUAGGCGGUUUGUCGCGUCUGCUGUGAAAACCCGAGGCUCAACCUCGGGCCUGCAGUGGGUACGGGCAGACUAGAGUGCGGUAAGGGAGAAUGGAAUUCCUGGUGUAGCGGUGGAAUGCGCAGAUAUCAGGAGGAACACCGAUGGCGAAGGCAGUUCUCUGGGGCGUUACUGACGCUGAGGAGCGAAAGCGUGGGGAGCGAACAGGAUUAGAUAUCCUGGUAGUCCACGCCGUAAACGUUGGGAACUAGAUGUGGGGACCUUUCCACGGUCUCCGUGUCGCAGCUAACGCAUUAAGUUCCCCGCCUGGGGAGUACGGCCGCAAGGCUAAAACUCAAAGGAAUUGACGGGGGCCCGCACAAGCGGCGGAGCAUGCGGAUUAAUUCGAUGCAACGCGAAGAACCUUACCAAGGCUUGACAUAUACCGGAAACUUCCAGAAAUGGUUGCCCCGCAAGGUCGGUAUACAGGUGGUGCAUGGUUGUCGUCAGCUCGUGUCGUGAGAUGUUGGGUUAAGUCCCGCAACGAGCGCAACCCUCGUUCUAUGUUGCCAGCACGUCAUGGUGGGAACUCAUAGGAGACUGCCGGGGUCAACUCGGAGGAAGGUGGGGAUGACGUCAAAUCAUCAUGCCCCUUAUGUCUUGGGCUUCACGCAUGCUACAGUGGCCGGUACAAAGGGCUGCGAUACCGUAAGGUGGAGCGAAUCCCAAAAAGCCGGUCUCAGUUCGGAUUGAGGUCUGCAACUCGACCUCAUGAAGUCGGAGUCGCUAGUAAUCGCAGAUCAGCAACGCUGCGGUGAAUACGUUCCCGGGCCU
rnacentral:rRNA from 1 species